AUGUGUAAACAUAACAAACAAGCAUUCAUUGAGUCACGUAUAUCAUGCGCAAAAGGGUUCGAGUAUACUCACAGCGAUGAUGGAUUGAAGGGAGCGCUAGAGUGAGAUUAGCCUGAUCAGAACUAUAGCAUAACGAUAAGCGAUACGUAAAUGGUGAGAGGUGUUAAUGGAUCAGACGGUAAUCCGAUCGGAUGGCAAUCCGAUCGGGUAGCCGGUCGAUCGGGUGACACUCCGCUCGGACAGUCAUCCGAUCGGGUGACCUUUCGAGUGGAUUGUUACUUCGUAUGGGAAUGAUGUGUUUGUGUAUGAUGGAUUGUCUUUUGAAGUUUUAGUUGUAGCAUUUAGAAAACAUAGAAGUAUCUCUACCUUUCAGGUCGAUCGAUUGAACGGUCGUUUGAUCGGGCGACAAUCCGAUUGGUUGGACACUUUAGUGAAAACAAGUUCAUAGCAGUUUGUCACACGAUCGGAUUGUAGUCCGAUCGGGUGGCAAUCCGUUUGUAUUGAACAUGUUGAAAAUUGUUUAAGUGUUGAGUUCAAAACAUCACAGGGUCGGAUGGUCGGUCGGUCGAUCGGGUGGCAACCCGAUCGGGCGGCAGUCCGUUCGAUAUUCAAAUCUCUUGAAGUUUGAAAUAAAAACUAAGUGUGGGGCCAAGGUGCAAGCCGAUCGGGUGGCAGCCCGAGCGGGUGGCAAUACGAUCGGACGUGUCACACCCCGAUAUUUUCACGUAUUACCGGUGGGCCCGUUCGUUCCAGAUUUAGGAGCCCAGUAAAAGCUACCUGUACUUGCUUGGUUGUAUACGGCUGUGAUAAAUUGUAUAAAUUGCUCAGGUAAAUACUUUUAACUUAUUUUCCCUUAUACGGGCUUG
rnacentral:lncRNA from 1 species